rnacentral:rRNA from 1 species
GACGAACGCUGGCGGCGUGCCUAAAACAUGCAAGUCGAACGGUUCCAGCAAUGGGACAGUGGCGAACGGCGGAGUAAUACGCGAGCAACGUGCCCCGAAGACUGGGAUAGUCGGCCGAAAGGCCGGGUAAUACCGGAUGUGGCGUUUAGAUCGCCUGAUCUUAACGUUAAAAGGUUUUUCGCUUCGGGAGCGGCUCACGGCCUAUCAGGUAGUUGGUGGGGUAACGGCCUACCAAGCCUACGACGGGGUAGCGGGUCNGAUAGGAUGGUCCGCUCGAGUGGGACUGAGAUACGGCCCACACACCUACGGGUGGCAGCAGGUUGGGAAUCUUGCACAAGUGGGGGCAACCCUGAUGCAGCGACGCCGCGUGGAGGA